rnacentral:RNase_P_RNA from 1 species
CAAGUGGGCCAGACGGUCGCGUGCUUGUUUUCAAGCGCGAGGAAAGUCCGGGCUCCUAAGGGCAAGAUGCCAGCUAACGGCUGGGCGGGGCGACCCGACGGAUCAGUGCCACAGAAAAGAAAACUCCCCUGCCGCAACGCGCGUUUUCGGACGUGCGCCGCAACAAGGGAAAAGCUGAAACGGUGCGGUAAGAGCGCACCAGCGCGUCGGCAACGGCGCGGCUUGGUAAACCCCAUCUGGAGCAAACGCAAAUAGGAACGCUAUACGGCCGCCCUUCCGUGCGUUCGGGUUGCGCGCUAGAGACGCGCGGUGACGCGCGUUCGAGAUAAAUGGCCGUCCGACGACAGAACCCGGCUUAUCGGCCCACUUGCCUU